AGAUGGCGUAGAUGGUAGGGUGCUGGCUUGUGGUGCUCGAGACCCAGGUUCGAGCCUG
rnacentral:tRNA from 1 species